rnacentral:lncRNA from 1 species
GCAUUCUUCUCCUUUGCCUCUCCUUUCAAAACCAGAGCCAUGAAUGCUUUCACCAUCUGAAACCAACAAAUACGGGAGAAGAAAUCAUUUACAAAAUCUCUUUUCGGCGCAUCUGGCACAAUUCGAUCAGUAAACACUUGUUAUUGUAGUUUGACAAUUUACGUUGUUUAAUAAAAAAAAAAAAUCAUAUGAUAGUUAUUAUUUUAUCAAAAUUAUUAAAUUUAGAAGUCAUUCAUAACACCAAUAUCAACUUCUAUUUCACAUAUAACUAGUCGGUUAACUUUUAAACUACAACACCAUAAAACAUAUAUACAAAUAAAAUUGAGAGGUAAGUAAGCAGUACGCAAGUCAUAUUUACCAGUUCUUCUGAAUAUUUAGCCCAGAAACGAGCCAUGGCUCUUUGGUAAGGGUCUCGAGGCAACAAAGGAUUUUGCUGCCAUGUCUCAUCGAUGUACUCAAGAAUAAUCAACGACUCAUUGACCACUUUCUCGCCAUGGAUGAACACAGGAACCUUCUUAUAAACUGGGUUCAGUUCCAAGAGCCUGGGGCUCUUGUUAAAGAUAUCUUCUUCAAUGUAUUCAUAAUCAACAACACCCUUCUGCUGCAGAGCGACUUUUACCCUGAACACAAAUGGACUUGUCGACAACCCCAAAAGCGUCACUUCUUUGGCCAUAUUAUUUUCGCUGAUAAUUAAUUGAUCUAUGUAAUGCUUUGUGAUGAGAUGAUUUAUUUCUUGUGGUGGUGAUGAUGAGAUGAUAUUCUGUGUCUAAUAACUAAACCCCCUUUUUUAUAAAUUGGUUAAGCACCGGUUGACUGGUUGACUUUAAAAGCUUCGAGCCUUCAACACAAUUGACAAGGUAACAUUGAGACGCCAAGUUUGACCUUAAUUUAGGAUAAAAAAGAAUGCACAUUGAUAUUAAAAUAAUUGACACCCAACAUUGGACCUUAAUCUAGGAUAAAAAAGAAUGCAUAUUGAUAUUACAACAAUUGAUGAUUGUAUGUACACGGCCCUCUGGUCCCCCAAGGGCACAUGAUACUAAUUAAGUGUUUCAAUGUGCAAAUUUCCGAAGAAUUUCAUUUUAGUUUUAUUAUAUCUGAACGGUAAUCCAAUUUCUUCAGAGCGCAAUUCAAACUCCUGAAUUGUUUGUUUCUCUUAUAAGAAUUUUUUAUCAAUUUAACCAGAUAGUCCAUUAUGUUAUACACAUAUGAAAAAAAAAAAAAAUCAUGACCAUUAUGAGCAUAUAAAUAUGGAAUUUGUUGGAAAUGAUCUUCAUGUGAUUUCUAAUUUUCAAUUAAAAAAAAAAAGUUACAUUGCUAUUAUUGUUACAGUUGUUUGAUAGUCGGCAUAGUUAAAGUAAUAAGAAGAUAAUAACCCUAUAAUAAAUAAUCUUAAAACCACUUCUACUUUAACUAUUUUGUGAAUUUUCUAUGUCUUACGUAUUCAAUUUAAGGUGAUUAUUUCCUUAAGGUGCAUUUGAGAACUUGCAUUAAAUUGUAUUGCAUUGCAUUAAACAAAGUUCUUAUGCCAAUCCAUGUUUUGUUGCAAUUUCUGAUUGGAUUGCAUUCCAUUAGAAAAGUGACUAUUAUAAUGAAAGGUCUAUAAAACAAACUCAUAAAAGAACAGGAUUUAAAUUGUAUUACAUUAAAAUAUUAUUUAUAUUUUUAAAUAUAAUUAUUUAGCUUUUAUUAUUUAAUAAAUUAUAACAAAUUUAAACUUAUUAAAUGUUUAAUUUAUUAUUUAUAUUUAAAUAAAAAUUUAAUUUAAAUAAUAAUAUAAGAUAUUAAUAAAAUUAAAUAUUCAAUAAAUAAAUGAUAAUAAAUUAUUUUACUUUCAUUAGAUAAAAUUAUUUUAAUUCUUUUUCCUUAAAUUAUAUAGUAUUUGUUUUUACACUGUAAUAUUGAAUUAUACUAUAUUAUAAUAUAAUAUUAUGAAUAUUAUUACAUAAUAUUGUAAUAUUUUAUUGUUUAAUAAUAGCAUAUUAUUAAAUUAUUUAGUAUUUUAACAAUUAAUAUAUAAAAAUAAUUAUUUAAUAUUUAAUUUAAAAAAUUAAUAAUAAAACUCUAAAAUAUCAAUAAAUAUAAAUAAUAUUAUUUUAAUUUAUUACGUUGCAACUUAAUGCAAUGAUCCCAAUGUAGUAUAAUAUAAAAUAAUAAAACUGUAAUACAAUUCAAUAUAUCAAACACACUUCGUGUAAACCUGCGUAGAAUGAUUAACUCUCCGGCAUUAUUUUAUAUUUGCAAACCUUUUUUUUUUUUGAAUACUGUUAUACAGGACUGUAGGUAUUACAAUUAAUAUUUACAAACAGAUUCUACAAUUGGAACCUUCAUCGUGGCAUGUACUCCUCUGAAGCGCUGCCCAAAUUCUUCAAACUCUCUCAAAUAUUCGAGGGCUGUCUACUCUAUUCACAUUUCGUGAGGAAUAGAUUGGUUUAACUCAAUUAUUUGAUAAUUGAGGAAGGAUUGUAAAUAAGCCCCAUAAAUACUUUUAUGGAGGUUUGAACCCUUGCACUCAUUAUUCUAAGUGCAAGGGCUCUCCCACUAGACCAAAGGCCUAUUGGUUUAUAUUUGCAAACCUCAGCAAACGUAAGAGAUCUCGUCACUUCUCAGGCUUUUUGAGACAGUAGUUUUUAUAAUGAGACAAAAGUAAUUAAUUAAUAAUAAAGCAGUAUGUGAAUUCAGAAUGAGUUAUUAGUCAAAGUCUUCUUCAUUAGAAUAAUAUAAAUCAGGGGUUGUACUAUAAUGCCUCACGCAACUUUCGUAAUUAAAGGCUAUAGUUGUUAGAUCCUAAUUAAACAAUAGUUAAAUUAUUUGUUUAGCUGUAUAUAAACAAAUAUCCAUGUAUUAAUAAUAUUAUUAAAUCUCUUCUGGAACAGUCGAUAUUGUUCUUAUUUUAUAGCCAAAUUGGCGUAUCAAUCACAUUCAUACCUUGUAAGUUGAAGCUUUCAAAGUCUACUCUACUCGUGGCUUCUGCAAAUAAAUACAAGAAGUUGAAAGACACAAUAUCAUCUCAUCAUCAGAUCAAAAUCACAUCAUCACUGAAAGAUCAAGAUCAAGCACCGAAAACAUGGCUACAGAAGUCAAGCUCUUAGGGAUUUGGCCAAGCCCGUUUGUGUUUAGGGUAAAAGUGGCACUGCAGCUGAAGGGUGUUGAUUACGAAUACUUCGAAGAAGAUCCCUUCAACAAAAGUCCCAAACUUCUAGAAUCGAAUCCAAUUCAUAAGAAGGUUCCUGUGCUUAUUCAUGGCGAGAAGCCGAUCAAUGAGUCAUUGACUAUUCUUGAUCAAUAUUAUUAGAAUUAAUUACUUUUCAUUUUUUUUUAUUUCAGGUACAUGAUUACAAAAGGAGACUUGUUCUACGAUCAAUAUUAUUAGAAUUAAUAAGCACUAAUCAUCUUUCAGUUUGAUGAAAGAUAACUUUUUUCCUAUGUAAUUGGAUUAGAGUAAACUAGAAUCAAAGUAUAAGAAUUCUAUAUGAAUAUGAAAAUUUUUUCCUUCUAUGCUUUUAAUUGGAUUGGUUUAGAGCGUCUUAUUUUCUAUAUGUCUAUACAUUAGCAUUAACAAGUUGUAAAGGAGUCAGUCUGAACUUUAUAAAAUAUGAAUCCAUUAUAAAAUUAUUCAUAUUUUAACUAAAGAAAGAAACAAUAUUGACCAUCCCAGAAAAUACUUCAACAGAAAACUCUAGAUCUUCAAUUGUAUUGGUAGAACGUCUCAUGUCCUAAUCAUCUUUAUUACAAAAGACAACAGCAAUUGAAUAUUAUAUAAUUAGCUGACUGUCAUUCAAACAAUGAAACUUAUCUAAACAUUAAUCUAGUUUAGUCUUAACCUAAUCUUAUAAUUGACAGAUUUCGAGGGGACCCACUAGCCAUGUGAUAUCGUGAAUUUGUGAUGGGUUGUCGCCAUCCUUUUAAAACUUUUAAUUAGUCCAUUCAAAUCCACUAUUUGGGGAGUAUAAAACUAUAAGGGGAAAGCAAGGCUAGCUUUUUCCUUUCCAACUUGUAAAGAUCUCAAUUUUUAUUUUUAUCCCUCUUAUCAGAAAGCAAUGCUUAUUGUCUUUGCUUCACAGCUAGCGGAUUCCAGACCUCAAAUAAGAACAUGAAAUAUGAAUGAAAAAGAGUGAGAUAAUUUUAACUAAUUAAAGAGUAAUUUUAUUACAAAAUUGAAAUAAAGAUGCAAAGAAAGAGGAAAAUAAAAUACAAGUCAUUACAACACACCACAACACCACCUUUAUUAGCACAAAUAUUAUUUGAUCAAUAAUUCUUGGAUGCUCUAUGCCCGGAAUAAGGUAAAGAACUCUUCACUGAGUUUGCGGAAAUAGACGAGCAUCCGGUCCCUGGCCGGCAAGUUUUCUUUGAUGAGAGGGUGAUUCACAAACUUGGUGCUCCAUUCAUUGAUGACUGGAAAUUUCUGAGGGUCAAGAAUUUGAAAGGAUCCAGCUUCUUCCCAAACAGGCAGCCAGUAAAGAAUCCAACCAAAUGCAAGUUCCAAAUACCCAAUAUUGCCCUCUCCUUCAGCAAACAACAAGCCGCUCUUUCCCUUGAAUUCCCCUUCUAUCUUCUCCAAUCCUUCUGCAAAUUCUUUCGCAUUCUUCUCCUUUGCCUCUCCUUUCAAAACCAGAGCCAUGAAUGCUUUCACCAUCUGAAACCAACAAAUACGGGAGAAGAAAUCAUUUACAAAAUCUCUUUUCGGCGCAUCUGGCACAAUUCGAUCAGUAAACACUUGUUAUUGUAGUUUGACAAUUUACGUUGUUUAAUAAAAAAAAAAAAUCAUAUGAUAGUUAUUAUUUUAUCAAAAUUAUUAAAUUUAGAAGUCAUUCAUAACACCAAUAUCAACUUCUAUUUCACAUAUAACUAGUCGGUUAACUUUUAAACUACAACACCAUAAAACAUAUAUACAAAUAAAAUUGAGAGGUAAGUAAGCAGUACGCAAGUCAUAUUUACCAGUUCUUCUGAAUAUUUAGCCCAGAAACGAGCCAUGGCUCUUUGGUAAGGGUCUCGAGGCAACAAAGGAUUUUGCUGCCAUGUCUCAUCGAUGUACUCAAGAAUAAUCAACGACUCAUUGACCA